AAGUCGUAACAAGGUUUCCGUAGGUGAACCUGCGGAAGGAUCAUUAAUGAAUUUUAAUGGGUGGGGUUGUCGCUGGCCUACUUGUAGGCAUGUGCACGCUUCGCUUCAUUCCAUCCUUCAUACCACUGUGCACUUCUCAUAGGUCGGAUUGCAGAGCUGCUUUAUUGCGGCAAUGAGGUCCUUCCUAUGUGUUUUACAAUAAACUUUGUCUGUCUUAGAAUGUUAAUGUCAUGCAUGAAUGCAUAUAUAAUACAACUUUCAGCAACGGAUCUCUUGGCUCUC
rnacentral:misc_RNA from 1 species